ensembl:ncRNA lncRNA:CR42767 long non-coding RNA:CR42767
UAACUGUCAUUUUUCUUUUUUGAACAAAAGUUGUAUUUCGUCGUUCAGGCUAGAGAAAUUUCAUUUGCCUUCGAGUCGGGCUACAAGCUAGUCGCAUUUUCUCAAGUUACAAAAAUGUAGCAAAAUUUUUACACUUAAAAAAACUACAUUGCCGACGAAAUGUCGGCACAUGGCUUGGUUCCUCAACCAAAUCCGAGGAAUCCAAACCAGGAAACGACUUUGAUAAUGAUUCGACAAUAAUACUCACAACUCAUGAACACGAUGCUCCAUAACUGCCGGAUGAGCACCAGACGGCGGCCCAAUUCCGGAGGAUCAUCCAGCUGCAAAUGUCACGACACUAGACUGUAAAAGUACAGUCCCCCCAAAGCGCAUACACAUUGUUACAGCAACAGUGCACAAGGCUUGAUUCCUCGCCCGAAUCCGAGGAAUCUAAGCCAGGAAAGGACAUUGAUCAUGAUUCGCCACGUGUUGGACUAGAUUUCUUACUACUCAUGAACACGAUGAUUUAUAACUGCCGGAUAAGAAACAUUCGGCGACCCAAUUCCGAUGCCACGACACUGGACUUAUUAAUGGUAACACAAGCGGAUUAAAUCGUUAAACACAGCCACCUAACGUUAUCUAUUGCGAUUUACAAUUAGUUUUGCCAGUUUACGCACUCUCCUUUGAAUAUGAUAACACAGAAAUUAACACUACUUACAGUGAAAAUACUAAAAGAAAGCAGAAUUUGAAAGUGGACUAGAAGUAACACUUAUUACACAGAAACGCACACUGAAGACACCGAAUGUUGUAACAAAUACACUGAAAACACACAAAACAAAAUAUUGUAUGAGCCAUCGCAAAGAAUAAAAACAUCGAUCAGUUGAACU